GCGGCCUGGUGCACGGCUGGGUCCUCGCGCGCUGCCGGCGUUCGGACGCCUGGAUCUUCGUCCAGGAGGCCCUGC
rnacentral:tRNA from 1 species